rnacentral:lncRNA from 1 species
GAGGUAAAAAAAAAUAGUGAAAGAAGAGUUGGUGAGUUAUCCUGAAGAAUUCCAGCCGCCUUAUAUGUUGUAUCCUUAGACCCUUCUUCUGUAAGUUCAAGCAGGUUUCUUCUGAUCUGUAUUACCUAGCUAGCUAGGCUGUCCUGUAUCACAAGUACCCUUGUGCUCCACAAAGGUUAUGAAGAUGCACGUCUGAAAAUCCCGGUGUUACAGGACCUGCCAAGUUUGUGCGUGUGUGUGUGGACAUCACGUGCCCAAACUCCACGUGCCCACGUGCUCCAAUUAUAUGCAGGAAAAGUUUUGAGGCCAUGACACUGCGAGGAAGAUGUGAGAAGUGUGAUGCAAGUUUGCCACAGAGAUUCAGAAAGAAAACACCAAAAAUCAUAAAAGGUGGCAGGAGGAGGCCUGAUCUGGAAGAACCAGAACGGAUCUGGGAGGCAGGAAACCCUGUGUUGUAA